rnacentral:rRNA from 1 species
GGGCAACCUGCCCUCCAGUUGGGGACAACAUUCCGAAAGGGAUGCUAAUACCGAAUGUGCUCCCUCCUCCGCAUGGAGGAGGGAGGAAAGAUGGCCUCUGCUUGCAAGCUAUCGCUGGAAGAUGGGCCCGCGUCUGAUUAGCUAGUUGGUGGGGUAACGGCUCACCAAGGCGAUGAUCAGUAGCCGGUCUGAGAGGAUGAACGGCCACAUUGGGACUGAGACACGGCCCAAACUCCUACGGGAGGCAGCAGUGGGGAAUCUUCCGCAAUGGACGAAAGUCUGACGGAGCAACGCCGCGUGAGUGAUGAAGGUCUUCGGAUUGUAAAACUCUGUUGUUAGGGACGAAAGCACCGUGUUCGAACAGGUCAUGGUGUUGACGGUACCUAACGAGGAAGCCACGGCUAACUACGUGCCAGCAGCCGCGGUAAUACGUAGGUGGCAAGCGUUGUCC